AGGGAUGGAGAGGGAGUGGGAAGGCCGGCGGAGUGCGAGCGAGGUAGAGGGAGGAGCGGGUGAGAGGGCUUUUGAAGACCUCUCUCCUCCACGUUGUUGGAACAAGGGUGGAGUCGUCAACCACUGCCAACUUUAUUGUUGUGCAACAAUAAAGUUGCCCAUUAUGACUUGGGUGUCAUGGUUUACAAAUACAGAAAUAGCCUCUUCCCAUGCAAGGGUAAGGUUGCAUGCUUCUAAUCCUCCACAAACCUUGCAAUGGUCGGAGACUUACGCACUAGGCCCAAGACCUAACAAGAUUUGAGAAAUCCUUUAUAAUUAGUAAUUUUUUUUUGAAUCUCAUGAUUAAAAGAAUUUAACAUCUACAACAAGAACCCUAAAAAGAAGUGAGGCUUGUUGAAUUAAAUCUGACCUCAAAUAUCUCGAGUUUAGAGCUUGCAACUCUCGGUCAAUUCUAUUUCUUCAAGCUCAAAAAUUUCUCAAAAUCUUCAACA
rnacentral:lncRNA from 1 species